rnacentral:rRNA from 1 species
UACAGAGGUCUCAAGCGUUGUUCGGAGUUACUGGGCGUAAAGCGUGCGUAGGCGGUUUUGUAAGUUUGGUGUGAAAUCUCCCGGCUCAACUGGGAGGGUGCGCCGAAAACUGCAAGGCUGGAGUGUGGGAGAGGUAGGCGGAAUUCCUGGUGUAGCGGUGAAAUGCGUAGAUAUCAGGAGGAACACCUGCGGCGAAGGCGGGUUGCUGGGCUGAUGACUGACGCUGAGGCGCGAAAGCCAGGGGAGCGAACGGG